rnacentral:lncRNA from 1 species
AAUUUUACCUCUUGCUCAACCUAUGGCACAUUUACCAGAUAGUAUUCAGCCUAGAUUAAACAUCAAGGUAAACUUGAAGGAGAGAGAAGUCACACAUGAGAAGGAGCAAACACCUGUGUGUGUGUAUCGGGCCUGUGAUUUGCUCUGACUAUCAAUGUUUACUGAACGGAGGGGAAGAAGCUCUGGGCUGAACAGGAUUCCAGAAAUGGCUGAGGCCUGGAGCCGGUUGCUUGAGGCCCCAUGGAGAGUGGUUCCCUGAGCAGACAUUCAAAAGCACUCCAUCUGCAUCGUGCGAGCCCCCACAUUCAACUAGGAUGGAAUAUCGCAGUGUUGGCUUCCUGAGUGGCCGCUGAGCUGAGGGCCUGCAUGACAAACCCUGGAGACACAGGAUACUUGAUGUAACUCUGAGCAAGCAUAUCGGCAGCAAUCACUUUCCAGGAGUAACGAAAGCUGCCAUCUGAUGGUUACGUGCUGGGCCUCAAGCUAAGCUCUUUAUGUUCCCCACGUUGAAUCCUCACAGCGACUCUCUGAGAUGGGAUUAUACACAUCUUAGAAACGAGGAAACUGUUUCACAGGGAAUAGCUUAGUCAUUGCCCCAGGUCACACAGCCAGGUGGUAGAGCACCGAGGAUUUGAACCCAAGAAUUCUGCCUUCCAAGUUCAUCGUAUCGUCUUUCCCUAUACUGUGAGGCAGCCUGAGUUUAGCUUCCAAACCAAAGGCUUAUUACAGCGAUGGAAAAGUGCUAGAGGGGUGGAGUAGACAAUGCAAUUUCCCCAUAGAAGUCAUGGAAUUUGUCUAACUACUUGGACACCCUACAAGUGAGAUUGCAUAGUUCUGAAAGGAGGGGUCCCCUACCCUGCAGCCCUUGUCCACUGACGCGUCCUGUUAAUUAGAAGCCACACACAUGCACACGUGCACACACACAGCACCUAGCAUCUGAAACAGACUCAUGAAACACCAGCAGGUGGCUGACAGGAAGCCUAGGGUUUCAAAGGACAACACUCAGGUAGAUCGCAGUCAGCUGGGGAUGGCAGCCGGGAGGGCAAGGCUCCUCAAACCACAGAAGUUCCACAGCGCUGCUCACGCGUGUGGUCGGAGCCCUCUGCAAACACUGCGCCUCAGCUACAGCACCCCACCGCUGGAUGGAAGCCCUUCCCUUGUUUCGGUCGAGUUUGCCCUUCUGGUGCAGGCACCCCCUCUCCCGGCCUGAGAAUAAGGAAUUA